rnacentral:rRNA from 1 species
AUUGAACGCUGGCGGCAGGCUUAACACAUGCAAGUCGAACGGAGUGGCGGACGGGUGAGUAAUGCUUGGGAAUCUGGCUUAUGGAGGGGGAUAACUACGGGAAACUGUAGCUAAUACCGCAUAUUGAUGGAUGGACCCGCGGUGCAUUAGCUAGUUGGUGAGGUAACGGCUCACCAAGGCCACGAUGCAUAGCCGACCUGAGAGGGUGAUCGGCCACACUGGGACGGAGACACGGCCCAGACUCCUACGGGAGGCAGCAGUGGGGAAUAUUGGACAAUGGGCGAAAGCCUGAUCCAGCCAUGCCGCGUGUGUGAAGAAGGUCUUCGGAUUGUAAAGCACUUUAAGUUGGGAGGCGUUACCAACAGAAUAAGCACCGGCUAACUUCGUGCCAGCAGCCGCGGUAAUAC